rnacentral:rRNA from 1 species
CCGAGAAUAUUCCGCAAUGGACGAAAGUCUGACGGAGCGACGCCGCGUGAUGGAUGAAGUGCUUCGGUACGUAAACAUCUUUUAUGUGGGACGAAGUUUUGACGGUACCACAUGAAUAAGGGGCUACUAACUCUGUGCCAGCAGUAGCGGUAAUACAGAGGCCCCGAGCGUUACCCGGAAUCACUGGGCGUAAAGGGUGUCCAGGCGGUCGUAUUAGUCGUUUGUAAAAUCCGCGCGCUUAACGUGCGGCUCGCAAGCGAAACGGUACGACUCGAGGGCGCGAGAGGUGCAUGGAACUCACGGUGGAGGGGUGAAAUCCGUUGAUAUCGUGGGGAACACCAAAGGCGAAGGCAGUGCACUAGCGCGUUCCUGACGCUCACACACGAAAGCCAGGGGAUCGAACGGGAUUAGAUACCCCCGUAGUCC